rnacentral:rRNA from 1 species
ACGGGUGAGUAAUACAUCGGAACGUAUCCUGGAGUGGGGGAUAGCCCGGCGAAAGCCGGAUUAAUACCGCAUACGCUCUGAGGAGGAAAGCGGGGGACCUUCGGGCCUCGCGCUCAAGGGGCGGCCGAUGGCGGAUUGGGUAGUUGGUGGGGUAAAGGCCUACCAAGCCGACGAUCCGUAGCUGGUCUGAGAGGACGACCAGCCACACUGGGACUGAGACACGGCCCAGACUCCUACGGGAGGCAGCAGUGGGGAAUUUUGGACAAUGGGGGCAACCCUGAUCCAGCAAUGCCGCGUGUGUGAAGAAGGCCUUCGGGUUGUAAAGCACUUUUGUCCGGAAAGAAAUCAUCGGGGCCAAUACCCCUGGUGGAUGACGGUACCGGAAGAAUAAGCACCGGCUAACUACGUGCCAGCAGCCGCGGUAAUACGUAGGGUGCGAGCGUUAAUCGGAAUUACUGGGCGUAAAGCGUGCGCAGGCGGUGCUGUAAGACCGAUGUGAAAUCCCCGGGCUUAACCUGGGAACUGCAUUGGUGACUGCAGCGCUGGAGUAUGGCAGAGGGGGGUGGAAUUCCACGU